rnacentral:rRNA from 1 species
UGGGGAAUCUUGGACAAUGGGGGCAACCCUGAUCCAGCCAUGCCGCGUGAGUGAUGAAGGCCUUAGGGUCGUAAAGCUCUUUCGCCUGUGAAGAUAAUGACGGUAGCAGGUAAAGAAACCCCGGCUAACUCCGUGCCAGCAGCCGCGGUAAUACGGAGGGGGUUAGCGUUGUUCGGAAUUACUGGGCGUAAAGCGCACGUAGGCGGACCAGAAAGUUGGGGGUGAAAUCCCGGGGGCUCAACCCCGGAACUGCCUCCAAAACUAUUGGUCUAGAGUUCGAGAGAGGUGAGUGGAAUUCCAAGUGUAGAGGUGAAAUUCGUAGAUAUUUGGAGGAACACCAGUGGCGAAGGCGGCUCACUGGCUCGAUACUGACGCUGAGGUGCGAAAGUGUGGGGAGCAAACAGGAUUAGAUACCCUGGUAGUCCACACCGUAAAACGAUGAAUGCCAGUCGUCGGGUAGCAUGCUAUUCGGUGACACACCUACGGAUUAAGCAUUCCGCUGGGGAGUACGGUCGCAAGAUUAAAACUC